rnacentral:lncRNA from 1 species
GGAUGUUCUUAUCCCAAGCAGAAAAGCCUGGUCGUAUUGAGCACAACUUUUUGGAACUUUUGGUCCUCAGUGCUCUUCAAUUUUGUACUUGUUUUGGCUUUCGAACUUUUUUCACUUAAGCGUCACUGGUUAGUCUUGUGUGGACGAAACUCGCGUCUGGCGUAUUAAAUUUUAAACCUGGUACCUUUUGUUAGCUAUUAUUCGUGUUUUUUCGUCCUAUAUGUUCUCCUAUUUAUUUGUAUUGUAGUGCUGUCAUGUUAUGUUGUCAUUUUAAUGUUGUAUUUAACAUUGCCAUAAAAGCUGGAGGUUUGACAUACCACAAAACCAGGUUCAACCCACCAUUGUCUUUCUUAAAAUGUCCUGUACCAUGUAAGGAAAAUGGCCAUUGUUUUGUUAUAGUUUGUUUCUGUGUGUGUUACAUUUUAAUGGUGUGGUUCUGUUGUGUCGUAGUUCUCCUCUUUUAUUUGAAGCGUUUCCCUCAGUUUUAGUGUUUGUAACCCGGAUUUUUCUCAAUAGAUUUUUGAAUUUCAAACAGCGGUAUACUAUUAUUGCCUUUAUUUAUACACUAGAAAAAAAGGGACUCUUGUAAACUUCUGAUUAAAAAUAUUAGAUACAUUGAAUAUUAUUUAGUGUUUGCAAUCGUACAAAUAUUUUUUAUCAUUCCUAUCAAGUAAAUUUUAAGCUGCCGUUUUCAGGUUUUGUCCUGACAUAAAUGUAUUUUAUUUGUCUUUUCCCCAUUAUAUUCCAAAUAUAAGAUACUUGCAACAAUAAACAAUAAUGUGUUCCCCGGGGUACUUCUCGUUAACUUUGAAUAUAGCUAGCUGUAUUCGCUUUUGUUACAUGCACCAAGCGUAGAUUUUUUAUAGGGUGUACCUGCAUGUGCAGGCGUUUGUCUUUUACCAUACAAUCUUAAGAUGAAGAUAUUUUACAGUUUUGAGGUUGUUUGCCGGAUUUGUUUACAAUAUCAAAAUAUCCUCUACUGCUAUCCGUAUAUUAAAUUUUAGGUAGUAGUGCAAUUCCAAAUUGACAUUGUGUAUCAAAUUUCUAACACUGUAAUGGAACGCAUGUGAUGUUAAUAGAUAUAGGAAGAUGUGGUGUGAGUCAUAUAUGACUUUGUAAAAAAAAAUAAUGAAUAAAUGAUAUAAGCAAGC